AGCGGGCGGGCGGGAGAGCCAGCCAGCCGCGUCUCCGCCAGCAUCUGCCGCGGCCGCGCUUGCCCAAGCCCGGGGACGGACCGACGGGCCGAUCUCCCGGCGCACGGACGCUGGCGCUCGCUUUGUGCUCCUGGCCGGCUUCGGCGAGGCACGGACUUCUGGUGCGCGGCUUCCCUGCCCGCUCGCGGCCACCCCGGCUCCGGCGGCCUCGGCGCGCGAGGGGCUGAGGUGCGGGAGCCGCUCUCCACCGGUCGGUCCCCGCGCGGCUGAGCCCGGGCCGCCCGCGCCGCGGCCCCGAGCCCCCGCUCCGCUCCAGGCUGCUCCGAGCGACGGUGCUUCGGGGCUUCAAACUCGGGCUGCCGGGGCAAGUGCCUUCAUGAACCCAGAGGAUGUCCGGGAAGCACUACAAGGGUCCUGAAGUCAGUUGUUGCAUCAAAUACUUCAUAUUUGGCUUCAAUGUCAUAUUUUGGUUUUUGGGAAUAACAUUUCUUGGAAUUGGACUGUGGGCAUGGAAUGAAAAAGGAGUCCUGUCCAACAUCUCCUCCAUCACCGAUCUCGGUGGCUUUGACCCGGUCUGGCUCUUCCUUGUGGUGGGAGGAGUGAUGUUCAUUUUGGGAUUUGCAGGGUGCAUCGGAGCGCUACGGGAAAACACUUUCCUUCUCAAGUUUUUUUCUGUGUUUCUGGGAAUUAUUUUCUUCCUGGAGCUCACUGCUGGAGUUCUGGCAUUUGUUUUCAAAGACUGGAUCAAAGACCAGCUGUAUUUCUUCAUAAACAACAACAUCAGAGCAUACAGGGACGACAUUGAUUUGCAAAACCUCAUAGACUUCACCCAGGAAUAUUGGCAGUGCUGUGGGGCUUUUGGAGCUGAUGAUUGGAACCUAAAUAUUUACUUCAAUUGCACAGAUUCCAAUGCAAGUCGAGAGCGGUGCGGCGUGCCCUUCUCCUGCUGUACUAAAGACCCCGCAGAAGAUGUCAUCAACACACAGUGUGGCUAUGAUGCCAGGCAAAAACCAGAAGUUGACCAGCAGAUUGUAAUCUACACAAAAGGCUGCGUGCCCCAGUUUGAGAAAUGGUUGCAGGACAAUUUAACCAUCGUGGCUGGUAUUUUCAUAGGCAUUGCAUUGCUGCAGGUUGGUUAUAAUAAAAAAGAGAACAAGUGUUGGCCAGGAUGUGGAGGAAACGGAACCCUCAUGUGUUGCUGGAGGGAAUGAAAAUGAUGCAGCCUCUGUGGAAAACAAUUUGGCAGUUUCUCAGAAAGUUAAACAUAGAUUUACCACGUGAGCCAGGAUUCUGCUGGGUCAUACAGAUUUUUGGGAUAUGCUUAGCCCAGAAUCUGGUCAGUGACAUUGAAGCUGUGAGGGCCAGCUGGUAGAACCUCUGCAACAGCUGCUGCAAGACACUGGACAGACCCAGCCUUCCCGACCCUCCCACACGCCCAGCUGAUAGCCAAGCUGCACAGACCUGACCACAGAGGCAUCCUACAAUCUCACCCAAUGGAGCUGCCAAGAACAUGGUUUUCUGGGGGAGGGGGGGUUAAAACUGGGAAAUGCUGCUCAUUGACAGAAUUUUUUUAAAAAAUAGCCAGUGUGAAAGUCUUUGCGCCAUGAAUCUCUCUACUGUAGCCAUGAACUUACGGAUGGUUGGAUGCUUACCAAAAAAGAAAGGGAAGGUGUGGGACUCAGCUGUAUUUGAAUUUGUGGAAAAUACAGUCCUGUCCUCUACUUCUAUGAGUGGUGACUGGAAGAGACAGUCUUGCUCGUCGUCACACCUCGAAGGGACUGGCUCUCUUCCAUGGCUGGAAGAAGUGUGUGUCUGCUAAGACUCAGCCCCUCACCUGGGAGGGCAGUGGUUUGUUUUCGUCCCUCCACGAACAUUUCAAGAAACUCUUGCAACUGUCAUCUGAAGAGGAAAACAGCUUGUCUUUGGGUUCAGAUCUUGUGAUGGUAUUCAGCAAGUGACUUGGGUGAGCACACUUGGUCUACCCUGGACCAUCUCCGUAGAAAAGAAGUUGUGUAUUCCACGUGCACUGAGCAAGGGCAUCAGAAGGCUUUAUGAUGCUGUAUUUUAGCAGAACUGAUCUUUUUUCUAAGUAGGCCUGACUUUUAUUUAUCAGUGAAAACCCAAGGAGAAAAUGAGGCUAAUGAAGAGGUAUUCGUUAAAGACUCCUUUAUCCCUACCCCACCAAUUUAACUAUUGGAUUUUUGGAAAGUCUGGAAUAUUCUGGGUCAUUUUGGGGGAUUUUUUUGUUUUUUGUUUUUUUAGAGACAGAAUCUCACUUUGUCACCCUUGGUAGAAUGCCGUGGUGUCACAGCUCACAGCAACCUCCAGCUCUUGGGCUUAGGCGAUUCUCUUGCCUCAGCCUCCCAAGUAGCUGGGAUUUCAGGCACCCGCCACAACGCCCGGCUAUUUUUUGUUGCAGUUUGGCCAGGGCUGGGUUUUAACCCACCACCCUCGGCAUAUGGGGCCAGCGCCCUACUCCCUGAGCCACAGGUGCCACCCUCUUUUGGGUUUUUUUAUUUUUUUUGUUCUGUUCUUUUUUCCUUUGGUCUUCCACAGGCAAAAGCUAUGAUACAGUUCCUCUUGAAUUUUAAAGUGUUUUCUUACUCAGCUCAAAUAUUAAUUUUUGGUAUAAUCCUAACCUGCAUGACCUGUGAAUCUGAAUCCAUUGUCUCCCAUUCUUGCCAUCUUUCCUAUAAACAUCCAAACAUGUUAUUUUGUCAGCAUUAUUUCCUAGGUUCAUGGCCAUGGGAGGUUGUGGCUUGUCCUCCGAUCCUGGCUGGGACGAGAGCAGCCGUGCUGGGGCAAAUGCUGCCACAGAUGCGGCAGUGUUUUCGGCAUCCAUCUUAGUGGCCUCUUCUGAACCGAUUCAUUCCCUUCUUUCUUUGUAAAUGGGAUUAAGCCCAGUUCCAAAACAACAUUGAUAGAAUCCCAAAUUUUCUAAUGGAUUUUUCUUCUUCCAGUUUUAGUUUGCUUUUAUUUUAAAAAAAAUAGUGCAUGGCCAGGGCUCCCUUCUUGAAGACAAACUAUCAGGAUUGUAUCAAAGCACAAAUAUUUCUGAGGGGAAUGCAUCAAACCAGGCAAGUUUUCUAUGACACAAGGUGGGAAACCAUUUCUAGGCGCUGCUUUCUGCCCCGACUGUAGAUGAGAGAGACGAGUUUGCCCCCCAGAUGUUAAUCUGUGUCCACCAGGGGAGCAGAUUGCAGCCUGUGGAACGCUGGGAAAGUCACAACGUGUUUUACAGUGGUGAUACAUUUACCAGCAUGUUACUGGGCAUCGAGCUAGCAUAUUUUGUGGAAAUGUAGCAAGGUUUUCCAUUUUAGCCCUUUGUUGCAUAAUGGUGGCUGACAGAUGUGUCCGUCAGCAUAAAGAAAAGACAGAAAUCGUUUUCAAAACUAAUCCCUGCAGUUUGGGUGUGUAUGUGACGCUGCAUGUGUGUUUGUCUGUGUCUUUGUGUAGAUAGAAGUGUGCAUUCCAUAUUCUGGCUGUAAGUUUGUCUUAUUUCAUCCUUUCUCCUGCCAUGGUUGUCAUUGUGUAAUGUCAUUCUGACACAGAGGGGACUUAAGCUCUCCAGUUGUCACUUUUGUCUUUUUUAUUACCUCAUUCUCCAGUGAACUCCACCUGCCCAUUUGACACAGCAUCAGGCAAGAUCCCCCACCCUUUUGCACUUCUAGUGAAAGGCCAAACCACAAGUCCAAGUGAGUUUUGAAUUUCAAUUAAUCGCCCUUUAUUUUUUACACUUGAGAGUGACUGUAAUCGAGGCUAUCCUUAAUAAACUUGAUUCUACCUGA